GUAGGGAAUAUUGGGCAAUGGGCGAAAGCCUGACCCAGCAACGCCGCGUGCACGAUGAAGGUCUUCGGAUCGUAAAGUGCUUUUCUGAGAGAUGAGAAAGGACAGUAUCUCAGGAAUAAGUCUCGGCUAACUACGUGCCAGCAGCCGCGGUAACACGUAGGAGGCAAGCGUUAUCCGGAUUUACUGGGCGUAAAGCGCGUGCAGGUGGUUCGGUAAGUUGGAUGUGAAAGCUCCUGGCUCAACUGGGAGAGGUCGUUCAAUACUACCGGACUUGAGAGCAGUAGAGGGAGGUGGAAUUCCCGGUGUAGUGGUGAAAUGCGUAGAUAUCGGGAGGAACACCAGUGGCGAAAGCGGCCUCCUGGACUGUUUCUGACACUCAGACGCGAAAGCUAGGGUAGCAAACGGGAUUAGA
rnacentral:rRNA from 1 species